rnacentral:rRNA from 1 species
UGGCUUAGAAGCAGCCAUCAUUUAAAGAAAGCGUAAUAGCUCACUGGUCGAGUCGGCCUGCGCGGAAGAUGUAACGGGGCUAAACCAUGCACCGAAGCUGCGGCAGCGACACUGUGUGUUGUUGGGUAGGGGAGCGUUCUGUAAGCCGUUGAAGGUGUCCUGUGAGGGGUGCUGGAGGUAUCAGAAGUGCGAAUGCUGACAUAAGUAACGAUAAAGCGGGUGAAAAGCCCGCUCGCCGGAAGACCAAGGGUUCCUGUCCAACGUUAAUCGGGGCAGGGUGAGUCGACCCCUAAGGCGAGGCCGAAAGGCGUAGUCGAUGGGAAACGGGUUAAUAUUCCCGUACUUGGUGUUACUGCGAAGGGGGGACGGAGAAGGCUAUGUUGGCCGGGCGACGGUUGUCCCGGUUUAAGCGUGUAGGUGUGUGUUCCAGGUAAAUCCGGUUCACUUUAACACUGAGGCGUGAUGACGAGGCACCACGGUGCUGAAGCAACAAAUGCCCUGCUUCCAGGAAAAGCCUCUAAGCAUCAGGUAACAUCAAAUCGUACCCCAAACCGACACAGGUGGUCAGGUAGAGAAUACCAAGGCGCUUGAGAGAACUCGGGUGAAGGAACUAGGCAAAAUGGUGCCGUAACUUCGGGAGAAGGCACGCUGACACGUAGGUGAAGUGAUUUACUCAUGGAGCUGAAGUCAGUCGAAGAUACCAGCUGGCUGCAACUGUUUAUUAAAAACACAGCACUGUGCAAACACGAAAGUGGACGUAUACGGUGUGACGCCUGCCCGGUGCCGGAAGGUUAAUUGAUGGGGUCAGCGCAAGCGAAGCUCCUGAUCGAAGCCCCGGUAAACGGCGGCCGUAACUAUAACGGUCCUAAGGUAGCGAAAUUCCUUGUCGGGUAAGUUCCGACCUGCACGAAUGGCGUAAUGAUGGCCAGGCUGUCUCCACCCGAGACUCAGUGAAAUUGAACUCGCUGUGAAGAUGCAGUGUACCCGCGGCAAGACGGAAAGACCCCGUGAACCUUUACUAUAGCUUGACACUGAACAUUGAGCCUUGAUGUGUAGGAUAGGUGGGAGGCUUUGAAGCGUGGACGCCAGUCUGCGUGGAGCCGACCUUGAAAUACCACCCUUUAAUGUUUGAUGUUCUAACGUGGACCCGUAAUCCGGGUUGCGGACAGUGUCUGGUGGGUAGUUUGACUGGGGCGGUCUCCUCCUAAAGAGUAACGGAGGAGCACGAAGGUUGGCUAAUCCUGGUCGGACAUCAGGAGGUUAGUGCAAUGGCAUAAGCCAGCUUGACUGCGAGCGUGACGGCGCGAGCAGGUGCGAAAGCAGGUCAUAGUGAUCCGGUGGUUCUGAAUGGAAGGGCCAUCGCUCAACGGAUAAAAGGUACUCCGGGGAUAACAGGCUGAUACCGCCCAAGAGUUCAUAUCGACGGCGGUGUUUGGCACCUCGAUGUCGGCUCAUCACAUCCUGGGGCUGAAGUAGGUCCCAAGGGUAUGGCUGUUCGCCAUUUAAAGUGGUACGCGAGCUGGGUUUAGAACGUCGUGAGACAGUUCGGUCCCUAUCUGCCGUGGGCGCUGGAAGACUGAGGGGGGCUGCUCCUAGUACGAGAGGACCGGAGUGGACGCAUCACUGGUGUUCGGGUUGUCAUGCCAAUGGCACUGCCCGGUAGCUAAAUGCGGAAAAGAUAAGUGCUGAAAGCAUCUAAGCACGAAACUUGCCCC